rnacentral:rRNA from 1 species
AACGUAGGUUCCGAGCGUUAUCCGGAUUUACUGGGCGUAAAGCGCGUUCAGGCGGUUUGGCAAGUCGGGCAUGAAAUCUCUCGGCUCAACCGGGAGAGGUUGUCCGAUACUUCCAGACUUGAGGGCAGUAGAGGGUGGUGGAAUUCCGGGUGUAGCGGUGAAAUGCGUAGAUAUCUGGAGGAACACCGGUGGCGAAGGCGGCAUCCUGGACCAACACUGACGCUGAGGAGCGAAAGCCAGGGGAGCAAACGGG